rnacentral:lncRNA from 1 species
AAUAAUUACCCAAAUCAGUCUCUGGCUCUCUUGCUCUGUCUCUAGCCUAAGCCAAAACCCCAAAUCCCAAAUAGUGACUCCGCCCUCUCCAAGGUGGCUCAUAGAUCUAUGUCUUGUCGCCGCCUUGUCUCCCUGCCUUGCCGCCGCCACUACCUCGUCCCUACCUUGCCACUGGUCUCGAAAUUGAAAUUCUUUUAUCUGAAAUUGAAGUUAUCCUCUCUCAAAUUGAAACUCUUAGCUCUCAAAUUGCCCCUGGUAUGUUAUACCGUAAAUUUCUAUAAUAGCUUGUUAUAGAAAACUUAUCUCUACUUCUCACAAAUUGUAACUUCCAGUUAGUUUCUCUUUUUUUUCUCAAUUUAGAACCCUAAUUUCUUCUUUGUUCUUUUCCUCUUUGUUUGCCCAUCAAAGGAAUAGCCCUUCUCGGUUGAAAAUGUACUAAUUAUGCCUAUGUUUUCUGUUAAAUGUGACUCAUUUUUGGACGGAUGGAGUAUAUGUGUGUAUGGGAUAUGUAUCAAUUUUUGUUUAUUUAUAUCAUUAAAUUGAACCAUCAUCUUGAAUUUGUUUGUUUGAUAUCUGAAAAGAGGAAUAGUGUAUAUAUGUGAUUGAUUCUUGUUUGAUUGAUGUUGGAUUGUGUUUUGCUGACUUCAUGUUAGUCUGUAGUGUUAUGCUUUAAUUACAACUGGAAAGAAUUAUGCACAUCUUUUUCUCUAGAUGAUUUGAUUUCCUUUUCUUUUCUUUUUUUACUAUAGAUGCAUACAAAACUUGUGAUUCAAGUAAUUUAAAUUCGUCAAUUUGUAGAAAUUGAUUAAAUGAUUUUUCUGUUUCAAAUGGAUCAUCAUUCAGGCAUAUGUAACUCAAGAUGAUAACUUGAUUGGUACUCUCACGGUUUGCGAAACAAUUUCAUAUUCAGCUCGCCUUCGUCUCCUUGACAAAAUGGCUUGGCAAGAGAAGUAGUCGUUAGUUGAAAGUACAAUUAUAGAAAUAGGACUUCAAGAUUGUUCUGAUACUGUUAUUGGAAAUUGACACUUGCGGUAUUGUUUAAAAUGACUAUUUUGGUUGUGCCUCAGAAUAAAAAAUGUCUAUAAAGCAUUGUAAUACACAUGUUUGUGGCUCUAAUUGCAUUUACAAUGGGACACUUUACAGAGACUGCUGAUAUGGAUGGUAGUGCUCCAGAUGGGAAUGGUCAAUCAAUUGAUGCUACGCAACGGCUUUUUAAAGCCUUCCAUACAUACUGUGGACGAAAAGGGGUAUGUUAAUUGGUGAUAUAAUGCAAUAGAGAAGACCAUGUAGCAUUUCGACUAAUGUUUCAAUUGAUUUUAAAUGUUGUUUUAGAUUCAAGCGAGAAGCAUUAUUCUUGAUGGUAAUGAUGUUUCGAAGGCACUUGUAGACUACAUAAAUGAGAACAACAUCACCAAUAUUCUUCAUGUUUGGUUAUUUUAGUUUAAACAAAAGAAAUCCUUUCAUUUAUUGUAGAAGUUGGCUUCAUGGACUUAUAGAAAAUUGGCAGCUGAAGUCAAUAGCUAUAUGGUAGGAAAUAGCUCUUGCUAUAGCUCUGCAGGAGGAAGAAUUGGGUAAGGGGGAGUUCUAAGAAAAUAAGCAGUUAGAAUUAAAAUGCGGAGGGGCGUAAGUUAUAGCAGUUGCAGACACUUUCCCCAUAGCACAUAAGCAAAAUAGAAUCAGUGUGCACAGAGAUGUGAAUAAUGCAGAAGUUCCUGGCAGAGUGUCUAUUAUUAUAAUUGCCUUUGACAUUGACAUAAACUCGAAGUAGUUUUCAUUGUUAGUUUCAUGUUCACCACAUAAGUACUAACAUAAUUAAUCUUUUCUUGUUUUUCUCAGUUGUUUUUAUUUAAUUUUAUAUUCCCCUCACUUCCAAAUUAGAGAUGCAUUUUUUUGUCCAUUCUAAAAAAUAAAGUUAGUGAUAAUUUGAAAAAAAAUACAGUUUUUAAAAUGUAUCUAUAGAAUGGAGGGAGUGAAUAUAUAUAUACUCAAACUGAAACACACACACAUGUUAAUUAUUUGUAAAGUUGUGUGCUUGUAGUGUAAAUGCUUUGCAAUUAUACCCUUGUUCUUUGAAUUUGUUUAUUCCUUUCAUCUAAUAGUUCUUUUUCAAUAUUAUGCAUAUUGACAGAUGGUAGUUAUUGGCAAAAUGAUGUUGAAAGGUAAAGGGAGAAAUCAGGUAUCUUGUGUUAUAUUAAAACUUAAUAUUGGCAAGGUUAGGAUAAGCCUACUAAAUUGGAAUGAUACAAGAAAGAAAUAUAGGGGCAAAAUAAUUUAGUAAGCAGUUACUUUUGUAGUCUUGAAAUUCUCUGAAGAUUAACAGAACUGUCCAUGACAAGAGUAAAUAUGGAGGAAAUAUUAACUCAUAAUUGAUAGAAAAUCUCUUCAUCCAAAAGAUUAAAAAAGAAGGAAAAUCGAUAAAGUGGAUAAAACCUCUACUACCUUUGGACAAAGGUUAUAUUCUGUUGCAUUUGAAAAUUAUAGGGAACCAUAGUAUCCAAGAGAAGCAUAGGGUAAUGAAAUCUUGCUCUUCAUCUUUUUGAGAUAAUUUAGAUGAUCAAGCUAUGAAAUGAAAGAUGUACACGAUGGUUAUGCUACGUUGGUAGAUGACCUCAAAUCAAUACAUAAUAGGAUAUUUCUUGCUAAUAUUCAAGUGCAUGCGAUCAUAUUGCGCAGUGUUUCUUAAGGUAAAAUCUUCUUUUUUUUGCCUACCUUAAAUAUAUCUUAGGCUAGUAAACAGUAUAAGUUAGUUUGGAUGCUUUAUUAUCAAAUGAUCACCUGUUAAAAACUGAGCAUUGCUUACACAAGAUCAAUUUCCUUUCUAUCACAUUAUUUUCAUUCUUUCUAUUUUUUCUUGUGCUUGACUUCCUUUGUAAAUCGGGACUUUUUAUCCAUGUCUAGAUUUUACAUAUAUAUAUAUAUAUAUAUAUAUAUAUAUAUAUAUAUAUGUAAAAUCUAGACAUGGAUAAGAAAGUCCCGAUUUACAAAGGAAGUCAAGUCACAAGAAAAAAUAGAAAGAAUGAAAAUAAUGUGAUAGAAAGGAAAUUGAUCUUGUGUAAGCAAUGCUCAUUUUUAUAUGGCUUCACUAUCAUAUAUGAUGGUUAUCUGAAAAUGAUGAAUGAUUGAUCCAACAUUCCCAUAUGACUAGCAUAUGCUUUGUAAAUCACACUUUUUUGACUGUUAUAUGUGUUUCAUAGUUUAAUUUGGUGAAGUUUCACAAUAUAUGUUUUAAAGAAGGUGAAUUGAGCAAAAGAGCCACAACAGGAUUCACAACGACAAUUACUGCAACAACAACCAAAUAUAUUACAACAAGACAUGUUGCUAAGGCACCAAACAUCAGACUCGUUCUAGAAACAUCAUGCAAUUAAGCAGGAAAAGCAGUUAUCGCAAUCAGCAAUUUCCUUUCCAGCAGAAUCAUCAAGUAUGUUUCUGACUUUCGCUACAUGCACGAACAUAUUUAUCAAGUUGUACUGUCAUCAUUAUAAGCCUGUAAAAUAUCUGUUCACUUGUAGCAUUAUUUAUGAGCACCAAUUAUUAUCUUGAUCCGUGUGUCAAUGUAUACCCACCAGGACGAGGUUCACGAAGCACAUGUUUUUCUUUUUCAGGAUAUUUGAUUUAGAUAUUAAUUUGGUAGUUAAUAAAAAGGUUAUUACCUUCUUCCAUGUCCCUUGAUUAUUAAGAAAAUAACACAACAUUGUUGUCUUUCUGUAUUGAUUUUGGCACUAAGUGCCUCUAGUGAUCUAUUUGCUUCAUUUUCUUGACUUGCUAUUAUUUUUAAAUAUGUGCAGGAAGACUGCUUCUAUGACCUGCCUUACAAUACUGGGUAUCAAAUUUCUGUGCUACAUUUACGGAAGACAAGGGACGAAAUUAUGAAGUGUACUCUCUCUAUAUAUGUAGAUAUAUACUUUGAUUGAAGAACCGUGGUAGCUUUAGAUGAUUAAUUGUAAAGAUAAUGAAUGAUUAUGUAGUGGAUGAUUUUAUUAAGUUAAUAAUAUUUUAGUUUUUUGUAUUUUUG